rnacentral:rRNA from 1 species
GACGAACGCUGGCUGCGUGCUUAACACAUUCAAUUCGAACGGAUAUGCCCUGCUUUUGUGUGCUGCUCGAGUGGCGUACGGGUGAGUAACACUUGAGUAACCUGCCCUUGCCUUUGGGAUAACUUCAGGAAACUGGCGCUAAUUCCGGAUAGGAGCUCCUGCUCCAUGGUGGGGGUUGGCUAGUUUCGGCGGUUGGGGAUGGACGAGCGGCUUGUCAGCUUGUUGGUGGGGUAGUGGCUUACCAAGGCUUUGUCGGGUAGCCGGCCUGAGAGGGUGACCGGCGACAAGGGGACUGAGGGACGGCACAGACUGCUACGGGGGGCAGCAGUCGGGAAUAAUGCACAAAGGGCGGAAGCCAGAUACAGCAACGCCGCGUGCGGGAGGAGGACGUCGGGGAUGGAAACCGGCUUCGGCUGGGAUGAAGGGUGAGUGAAGGAAAUGGGUAAAGAAGCACCGGCUAGUAACGUA